rnacentral:rRNA from 1 species
UACUGACGCUCAUGCACGAAAGCGUGGGUAGCAAACAGGAUUAGAUACCCUGGUAGUCCACGCCCUAAACGAUGUCAACUAGGUGUUGGGUGGGUAAAACCAUUUAGUACCGGAGCUAACGCGUGAAGUUGACCGCCUGGGGAGUACGGCCGCAAGGUUAAAACUCAAAGGAAUUGACGGGGACCCGCACAAGCGGUGGAUGAUGUGGAUUAAUUCGAUGCAACGCGAAAAACCUUACCUACCCUUGACAUGUCCAGAAGCUCUCAGAGAUUUGAGUGUGCCCGAAAGGGAACUGGAACACAGGUGCUGCAUGGCUGUCGUCAGCUCGUGUCGUGAGAUGUUGGGUUAAGUCCCGCAACGAGCGCAACCCUUGUCGUUAAUUGCCAUCAUUCAGUUGGGCACUUUAACGAGACUGCCGGUGACAAACCGGAGGAAGGUGGGGAUGACGUCAAGUCCUCAUGGCCCUUAUGGGUAGGGCUUCACACGUCAUACAAUGGUCGGUACAAAGGGUUGCCAACCCGCGAGGGGGAGCUAAUCCCAGAAAGCCGAUCGUAGUCCGGAUCGUAGGCUGCAACUCGCCUGCGUGAAGUCGGAAUCGCUAGUAAUCGUGGAUCAGCAUGUCACGGUGAAUACGUUCCCGGGUCUUGUACACACCGCCCGUCACACCAUGGGAGCGGGUUCCGCCAGAAGUAGGUAGCCUAACCGCAAGGAGGGCGCUUAC